UUUAUGGAGAGUUUGAUCCUGGCUCAGGAUGAACGCUGGCGGCGUGCCUAAUACAUGCAAGUCGAGCGAACGGACGAGAAGCUUGCUUCUCUGAUGUUAGCGGCGGACGGGUGAGUAACACGUGGAUAACCUACCUAUAAGACUGGGAUAACUUCGGGAAACCGGAGNNAAUACCGGAUAAUAUUUUGAACCGCAUGGUUCAAAAGUGAAAGACGGUCUUGCUGUCACUUAUAGAUGGAUCCGCGCUGCAUUAGCUAGUUGGUAAGGUAACGGCUUACCAAGGCAACGAUGCAUAGCCGACCUGAGAGGGUGAUCGGCCACACUGGAACUGAGACACGGUCCAGACUCCUACGGGAGGCAGCAGUAGGGAAUCUUCCGCAAUGGGCGAAAGCCUGACGGAGCAACGCCGCGUGAGUGAUGAAGGUCUUCGGAUCGUAAAACUCUGUUAUUAGGGAAGAACAUAUGUGUAAGUAACUGUGCACAUCUUGACGGUACCUAAUCAGAAAGCCACGGCUAACUACGUGCCAGCAGCCGCGGUAAUACGUAGGUGGCAAGCGUUAUCCGGAAUUAUUGGGCGUAAAGCGCGCGUAGGCGGUUUUUUAAGUCUGAUGUGAAAGCCCACGGCUCAACCGUGGAGGGUCAUUGGAAACUGGAAAACUUGAGUGCAGAAGAGGAAAGUGGAAUUCCAUGUGUAGCGGUGAAAUGCGCAGAGAUAUGGAGGAACACCAGUGGCGAAGGCGACUUUCUGGUCUGUAACUGACGCUGAUGUGCGAAAGCGUGGGGAUCAAACAGGAUUAGAUACCCUGGUAGUCCACGCCGUAAACGAUGAGUGCUAAGUGUUAGGGNNNNNNCNNANCCUUAGUGCUGCAGCUAACGCAUUAAGCACUCCGCCUGGGGAGUACGACCGCAAGGUUGAAACUCAAAGGAAUUGACGGGGACCCGCACAAGCGGUGGAGCAUGUGGUUUAAUUCGAAGCAACGCGAAGAACCUUACCAAAUCUUGACAUCCUUUGACAACUCUAGAGAUAGAGCCUUCCCCUUCGGGGGACAAAGUGACAGGUGGUGCAUGGUUGUCGUCAGCUCGUGUCGUGAGAUGUUGGGUUAAGUCCCGCAACGAGCGCAACCCUUAAGCUUAGUUGCCAUCAUUAAGUUGGGCACUCUAAGUUGACUGCCGGUGACAAACCGGAGGAAGGUGGGGAUGACGUCAAAUCAUCAUGCCCCUUAUGAUUUGGGCUACACACGUGCUACAAUGGACAAUACAAAGGGCAGCGAAACCGCGAGGUCAAGCAAAUCCCAUAAAGUUGUUCUCAGUUCGGAUUGUAGUCUGCAACUCGACUACAUGAAGCUGGAAUCGCUAGUAAUCGUAGAUCAGCAUGCUACGGUGAAUACGUUCCCGGGUCUUGUACACACCGCCCGUCACACCACGAGAGUUUGUAACACCCGAAGCCGGUGGAGUAACCUUUUAGGAGCUAGCCGUCGAAGGUGGGACAAAUGAUUGGGGUGAAGUCGUAACAAGGUAGCCGUAUCGGAAGGUGCGGCUGGAUCACCUCCUUU
rnacentral:rRNA from 1 species